CAUAUGGGAGUUAAAAAUAAAGACUAAAAGUAAGAAAAUAUUGAGGAAAAAGUAAAAUGAAUACUAGAGCUUCCAAAUUUUCACCAGAAAAUGAGGAAUUCAGGCAAGGGGUGGUUUUUUCCCUCUUGGAAAAAGAAGCAGAAUGAGAAAGGACAUGAGAGAUCUUGGGAGUAAACAGAUCUUGAUUUGAGAGGAUCUGAAACCACUAUGUGGUAAGACACACUGCUAGGAACAUUUAUACAUUUUCUUUAUUUUCUCUUUGGUCUUUCUUAGUAUUUAGUUAACUCUUCUAAUGAAAAUAUCCAUCACGACUAGACUCGGGCAUGGCACACCAAGGGGAUAGCUGUGGUGACUGGCCAAACUGGGAAAUGUCUGCACAUCACUCUUCCUAUCUCCAGAGACUAUUUUCAGAUUGAAAUCUGCAGGGUCUGAAUUUCCAUCUAUUUCGGGAAGUCACAUUCCACUAUUAAGAUCUGCUGUUUUUUUCUUGGACGUCUUCCUGGUAUGGCAUGCUCCAAGGAAGAUCAACAAUAUAGUAUUAGCAUAUUUCCGAAAGCCUAUGGACAAGGUAGAUUUCUGGUGCAGCCCCACCCGUACUGGUCAGAGGCCAUGAGCAUCAAGACUGAAUGUAAAACACACCAGUGCAUAAUGAAAAGCUCAGAAAGGAAAGCUCUUAUGAGCAUGAUCACAAGGACUCUGUGAAGGAAGAUUGUGGUACAUAUAGAAAGUCAUUAUUUUUCCACAUGUGUUGUAACCUGUGUUUAUGCUACACCAAAAGAGCAUGGAGAGAGAGCAAGACAGCAAUUCAAAAACGUGGCCAGGGAUGACUUGAAAAAAUGCAGAACUCCACAACACAAUGGGUAGCACUUUUAAUUAAAUUUGUAGUCGACUGAUAAUAAAAUUGAUAAUUUGAC
rnacentral:lncRNA from 1 species